rnacentral:rRNA from 1 species
AGAUUGAACGCUGGCGGCAUGCUUUACACAUGCAAGUCGAACGGUAACAGGCCGCAAGGUGCUGACGAGUGGCGAACGGGUGAGUAAUGUAUCGGAACGUGCCCAGUCGUGGGGGAUAACGCAGCGAAAGCUCGCGCUAAUACCGCAUACGAUCUAUGGAUGAAAGCAGGGAUCGCAAGACCUUGCGCGAAUGGAGCGGCCGAUGGCGAGAUUAGGUAGUUGGUGAGGUAAGCUCACCAAGCCUUCGAUCUAGUACGCGUGGUCUGAGACGGACGACCAGCCACGACGUGGGACUGGACGACGACCGGCCCAGGACCGUCCGUACGGGAGCAGCAGGUGGG